rnacentral:rRNA from 1 species
UUGUCUCUCUUGAGUGGAUCCUGAGUACGACGGAGCACGUGAAAUUCCGUCGGAAUCUGGGAGGACCAUCUCCUAAGGCUAAAUACUCUCUAGUGACCGAUAGUGAACCAGUACCGUGAGGGAAAGGUGAAAAGCACCCCGGAAGGGGAGUGAAAUAGAACCUGAAACCGUGUGCUUACAAGUAGUCAGAGCCCGUUAAUGGGUGAUGGCGUGCCUUUUGUAGAAUGAACCGGCGAGUUACGAUUUGAUGCAAGGUUAAGCAGUAAAUGUGGAGCCGUAGCGAAAGCGAGUCUGAAUAGGGCGUUUAGUAUUUGGUCGUAGACCCGAAACCAGGUGAUCUACCCUUGGUCAGGUUGAAGUUCAGGUAACACUGAAUGGAGGACCGAACCGACUUACGUUGAAAAGUGAGCGGAUGAACUGAGGGUAGCGGAGAAAUUCCAAUCGAACCUGGAGAUAGCUGGUUCUCUCCGAAAUAGCUUUAGGGCUAGCCUCAAGUGAUGAUUAUUGGAGGUAGAGCACUGUUUGGACGAGGGGCCCCUCUCGGGUUACCGAAUUCAGACAAACUCCGAAUGCCAAUUAAUUUAACUUGGGAGUCAGAACAUGGGUGAUAAGGUCCGUGUUCGAAAGGGAAACAGCCCAGACCACCAGCUAAGGUCCCAAAAUAUAUGUUAAGUGGAAAAGGAUGUGGCGUUGCCCAGACAACUAGGAUGUUGGCUUAGAAGCAGCCAUCAUUUAAAGAGUGCGUAAUAGCUCACUAGUCGAGUGACACUGCGCCGAAAAUGUACCGGGGCUAAACA